GACGUAGGGCGCGAGCGUUGUCCGGAUUUAUUGGGCGUAAAGAGCUCGUAGGCGGCUUGUCGCGUCGACCGUGAAAACUUGGGGCUCAACCCCAAGCCUGCGGUCGAUACGGGCAGGCUGGAGUUCGGUAGGGGAGACUGGAAUUCCAGGUGUAGCGGUGAAAUGCGUAGAUAUCUGGAGGAAUACCGGUGGCGAAGGCGGCAUCCUGGACCGGCAUUGACGCUGAGGAGCGAAAGCCAGGGGAGCAAACGGG
rnacentral:rRNA from 1 species